GCGACCCCAGGUCAGGCGGGACUACCCGCUGAGUUUAAGCAUAUAAAUAAGCGGAGGAGAAGAAACUUACAAGGAUUCCCCUAGUAACGGCGAGCGAACCGGGAGCAUCCCAGCUUGAGAAUCGGGCGGCUGUGCCGUUCGAAUUGUAGUCUGGAGAGGCGUCCUCAGCGACGGACCGGGCCCAAGUCCCCUGGAAAGGGGCGCCUGGGAGGGUGAGAGCCCCGUCCGGCCCGGACCCUGUCGCCCCACGAGGCGCCGUCAACGAGUCGGGUUGUUUGGGAAUGUAACCCAAAUCGGGCGGUAGACUCCGUCCAAGGCUAAAUACAGGCGAGAGACCGAUAGCGAACAAGUACCACGAGGGAAAGAUGAAAAGGACUUUGAAAAGAGAGUCAAAGAGUGCUUGAAAUUGCUGGGAGGGAAGCGGAUGGGGGCCGGGGAUGCGCCCCGGCCGUAUGCGGAACGGCUCUUGCUGGUCCGCCACUCGGCUCGGGGUGUGGACUGUUGUCGGCCGCGCCGGCGGCCAAAGCCCGGGGGCCCUAGGUGCCCCCGGUGGCCGUCGUCGGCACAGCGGGUACCCGCACGCCGAAAGGCGUGUCCCUCGGGGCACUGCGCUGCAACGGCCUGCGGGCUCCCCAUCCGACCCGUCUUGAAACACGGACCAAGGAGUCUGACAUGCGUGCGAGUCGACGGGUUCUGAAACCUGGGAUGCGCAAGGAAGCUGACGAGCGGGAGGCCCUCACGGGCCGCACCGCUGGCCGACCCUGAUCUUCUGUGAAGGGUUCGAGUUGGAGCACACCUGUCGGGACCCGAAAGAUGGUGAACUAUGCCUGAGCGGGGCGAAGCCAGAGGAAACUCUGGUGGAGGCUCGAAACGAUACUGACGUGCAAAUCGUUCGUCUGACUUGGGUAUAGGGGCGAAAGACUAAUCGAACCAUCUAGUAGCUGGUUCCCUCCGAAGUUUCCCUCAGGAUAGUUGGAACCCAUUACAAGUUCUAUCAGGUAAAGCCAAUGAUUAGAGGCAUCGGGGACGCAACAUCCUCGACCUAUUCUCAAACUUUAAAUAGGUAGGAUGGCGCGGCUGCUUCGGUGAGCCGUGCCACGGAAUCAGGUGCUCCAAGUGGGCCAUUUUUGGUAAGCAGAACUGGCGAUGCGGGAUGAACCGGAAGCCGGGUUACGGUGCCCAACUGCGCACUAACCUAGAACCCACAAAGGGUGUUGGUUGAUUAAGACAGCAGGAUGGUGGUCAUGGAAGUCGAAAUCCGCUAACGAGUGUGUAACAACUCACCUGCCGAAUCAACUAGCCCCGAAAAUGGAUGGCGCUGAAGUGCGCGACCCACACCCGGCCAUCUGGGCAAGCGCCAUGCCCCGAUGAGUAGGAGGGCGCAGCGGCCGCUGCAAAACCCGGGGCGCGAGCCCGGGCAGAGCGGCCUCGGUGCAGAUCUUGGUGGUAGUAGCAAAUAUUCAAAUGAGAACUUUGAAGGCCGAAGAGGAGAAAGGUUCCAUGUGAACGACACUUGGACAUGGGUAAGCCGAUCCUAAGGGACGGGGUAACCCCGGCAGAUAGCGCGAUCACACGCAUCCCCCGAAAGGGAAUCGGGUUAAGAUUUCCCGAGCCGGGAUGUGGUGGUUGACGGCUGUCACAGCCCUAGAGUACCUGAGUGAAAUAGUUGCAUCUGCACUCAUGCAUCAUGUCUAAAUUCUGAAAGUUGAAUUGAGGUUAGUUGAAACCCUCAUAAAUCACUUCAAAAAUAAUCAACAUUAAAAUCUUUUCAAAGAAGUCCAAGAAAAUGUUCCUCUUAGUCUCUGAAAAAUAUUGGCAAGAGGUAAAACUUAAAACAAUAUUUUUGGAAUCUCAGAGAUAUUUAUUUUGGGCCUUUGAAUUAAAUCAAUAACUAUUUGCAUUGGAUAUAUAUUUAUUAAUUAAUUAAUAUAUGUCCAACAAUUCUGAUCUCUGGUGAAGGGCUUUGGAAUAACCCAACUAGUCCCUACAAGAAUUAUCAGAAGCAACAAAAAUGAUUUAGUGUCUAAAACUAAAUCAAAACAAAUUACAGAAAAAUAGAAAACAUAAUUUAAUUAAAAGAGAGAGAGAGAAGGACUAACCUGUCA
rnacentral:rRNA from 1 species